GACGAACGCUGGCGGCGUGCUUAACACAUGCAAGUCGAACGAAGUGGCGAACGGGUGAGUAACGCGUAAUCAACCUGCCCUUCAGAGGGGGACAACAGUUGGAAACGACUGCUAAUACCGCAUACUGAAGGAGGGGAUUGCGGCUGAUUGGUCAGUUGGGGGGGUAACGGCCCCCGAAGGCGAUGAUCAGUAGCCGGUCUGAGAGGAUGAACGGCCACAUUGGGACUGAGACACGGCCCAGACUCCUACGGGAGGCAGCAGUGGGGAAUCUUCCGCAAUGGACGAAAGUCUGACGGAGCAACGCCGCGUGAGUGAUGACGGCCUUCGGGUUGUAAAGCUCUGUUAAUCGGGACGCGGUACCGGAAUAGAAAGCCACGGCUAACUACGUGCCAGCAGCCGCGGUAAUAC
rnacentral:rRNA from 1 species